UCGCCCGUUGGAUUUGAUACUGACGGUCGAGCAUGCCGCGGAAGAAACAGUGAUACGCGGCAGGCUGCCGUCUUCAUUCUCGAGGAAUCGAAAGCUUUUCGAAUCCUCGAAUCUGCGGAAUUCUUUUCGAAAGUCCGAUCUUUUAAUAUGUCCAUUACGUCAAAAUCCGAUUUUUAUCGACCUCGUUAUGGUUUGAGAGUCUCCGAUCCCUUCUUCGUGGUGGUCUUCAUCCAUUGGCAGCAUUAGUUCAUCUCUGGGGCUUUUCCUUUGUAUGGCCGAUCCAGUUCCCACCUCUCAUGGUCAUCUAGGUUCUUCUGGCCCUGGAGAAGGAUCAAUCUUUUCUUGUUAUUCAAUCGGUUGGUAGGGUUGUCCAACACCAAUCGCAGCUUCUAAUACUCCUCUCUUUGUCUGCUUCACACAUUUUGGUUCCUGUUUUCAGCAGCAUUCCUGAUUUCGGAAGAAAUACACAGUAUUAGCACCAUAUGUUGCAGUAUCACCUUAUUUGUGCCGGUUGAAAAUGCUGCAUGAUAGAUAGACACAUCAGAGUGAGUAGCCAUUGAAAUCUUUGAUCAUAACAAAAUAGAGACUAACAGUCAUGUGUUUCUCUGUUUGAUGAUAAAUCAUCUAUUUUAUCAGCUGUUAAGAUGGUUAAAAUGUGUGUAAAAACAGACAAAAGAGUAGAAGGGAAUAAAGAAGAAGAAACUAGAAUAACAAGGAGAUAAAGAGAUGGAAAAUUAGAGAACAAGCCAUUUUGUUCUUGCAAAAUAUCUCAUGCUAACCUUCUACUUGUAUCUUGGAACGAGCAUUCUCACUUUAUGCUUUUCAGACUUUUUAGCAACAGUAUGUGGCUGUUUUCCCAUUAUUUGACCACCUUUUAUAUAACUAGAAGUCUUAGCUUACAACACAAUAAAGAACUCAAGGUGAUAUGUUAAUGCCUAAUUGGUUACGUUGAACAAAUAAUUAAAGGCACCAAAAUUUGAUAUGUUAAUGCCUAAUUCGUUAUGUUGAACAAAUAAUUAAAGGCACCAAAAUUAUCUUCCAUAGCAGAGAAUAAUAGGAUCCCAAAAAUCAAGAAAUUGACCCAUUUACUAUUUCAAAAAGGUGCUAAAUCCAUUACAACUCAAGCAAACUAAUCUAAUUCAUCUAAUUAAGUGAACCAAACCUGAAUCUGACUAACUAAAAAGAAAAAACUAUUUGGGACAUUAUUGUUUUGGUGCCUCUUUCUGGUGCAAUCUGAACCACCAAAUAAAGUCUAUAAUUUGAGUGAAUUUUAAGUGUCAUUUGUUGCAUCAGUAGUACUUAGGGGAGUCAUACAUAAUGUUGCAGGCUAAUAAAGCUUGACCAGUGUUUGCUUUCCAAUUUGCAAUCUCUUGUAUUUAUCUCAUUGGUCUAAUCUAGUUUAGAAUAGUAAAUAUGAUAAUCAUAAAAAGAGAUAAAACUGACUCCAAGUUAAGAACUGACCAUCAACAAGGAAAAUAUGUACACAAUACUUUGUCAUGUAUUUAGAUAGACAUGGUGUUGCAAAUGUUUUGGAAUUUGAGGUGGUUGAUGGGAUUGCUCUGACAAAUGUUUAUUUAAUCGGACUCAUGACAAAAA